rnacentral:rRNA from 1 species
GACGAACGCUGGCGGCGCGCCUAACACAUGCAAGUCGAACGGAGCUGAGAGAAGCUUGCUUUUCUUAGCUUAGUGGCGAACGGGUGAGUAACGCGUGAGUAACCUGCCCUGGAGUGGGGGACAACAGUUGGAAACGACUGCUAAUACCGCAUAAGCCCACGAUCCGGCAUCGGCUUGAGGGAAAAGGAUUUAUUCGCUUCAGGAUGGACUCGCGUCCAAUUAGCUAGUUGGUGAGGUAACGGCCCACCAAGGCGACGAUUGGUAGCCGGACUGAGAGGUUGGGCGGCCACAUUGGGACUGAGACACGGCCCGGACUCCUACGGGAGGCAGCAGUGGGGGAUAUUGCACAGUGGGGGAAACGCUGAUGCAGCGACGCCGCGUGGAGGAAGAAGGUUUUCAGAUUGUAAACUCCUGUCGUGAGGGACGAUAAUGACGGUACCUAACAAGAAAGCACCGGCUAACUACGUG